UUAGUGACUAUAACUCUGAUACUCCUGGUCCAGCUACUGAAAGAAAUAACGCUUCUCUGGCUACUGGUCAAACCAAAGAGUCUGAAAUUGCAAGUUCUUGCGGUCAACAAAGAGUAUUUCCAAUCCAAAUUCCAGUUAAUGGUAUAAGCUUUAAUAAUCUGUGCACCAGCUAUGGUUCCACAUUUCCUCCAAUUUUCUGUAAACAAUCUGGUGCAUCAACAAUAGUGAGUCCAAGUUCAGGCAGCCAGCUGGAACCCAGCCCUAAAGUAAAUCCAUUUCAUCAGUCCAGCUUCAAAAGUAAUUCUGAACUCCACAAUCAAUUUGGUCAAACUCCAAAUGAUUCCACCAAUCUAUCUCUGCAAAAACAGGACCACAAGUUGGAUUCUUUGGAGGAUCGAGGACACAUUUCUCCUGCC
rnacentral:misc_RNA from 1 species